rnacentral:rRNA from 1 species
UACGUAGGUGGCAAGCGUUAUCCGGAAUUACUGGGUGUAAAGGGGGCGUAGACGGUAAUGUAAGUCUGGAGUGAAAGGCGGGGGCCCAACCCCCGGACUGCUCUGGAAACUAUGUUACUAGAGUGCAGGAGAGGUAAGCGGAAUUCCUAGUGUAGCGGUGAAAUGCGUAGAUAUUAGGAGGAACACCAGUGGCGAAGGCGGCUUACUGGACUGUAACUGACGUUGAGGCUCGAAAGCGUGGGGAGCAAACAGG